AGCUAGGACUAGGAGCACAGGUCACCUCUCCUGGCUUUCUUUUUCAUAAUUCUUGCAGUUUUAAUCCCUCCCUUCCCGUACUACCAGAGCAGUUUUGAAACCUCUAUUAUUACGUUUUAUCAGGGUCUGCCAUAUACUAGUUUAUCUGAGUGUUUGUCUUCCAGAUUAGAGUUAUGGUUCCUCGACAGGCAGAUAAUCAUGUCUUCUUUGUUUAGAGAUGAAUAAACACCUAGCAUGGUGCUCUGAAUAUAGUAUGUGCUUAACAAAUGCUUGUUGGAUUGAACCAGUAUGAAUUUAAGUUCUUUUGUUGGACAGAGAGGUAUGCCUGCUUUAGAGCUGUUUCCUCUCCUCCUGAGAUCUUUCUGUGCUGUUUUACUGAGCAGGGAAGAAUAGCGUUGCUAAAUGCAUGUUUACCAAAAUGACAUUUUAUUUUUGGGACUUUUAUGAUUCCUUAUGGACUUCUUAGUGUGAGAAUUAUGGAGAGUUUAUAGCUUUGAAAUGGUGGUAUAGGUUUUUGAGAUGGAGUUUAGCUCUUGUCUCCCAGGCUGGAGUGCAAUGGCACAAUCUCAGCUCAUUGCAACCUUUGCCUCC
rnacentral:lncRNA from 10 species